UGGGGAAUUUUGGACAAUGGGGGAAACCCUGAUCCAGCCAUCCCGCGUGUGCGAUGAAGGCCUUCGGGUUGUAAAGCACUUUUGGCAGGAAAGAAACGUCAUGGGUUAAUACCCCGUGAAACUGACGGUACCUGCAGAAUAAGCACCGGCUAACUACGUGCCAGCAGCCGCGGUAAUACGUAGGGUGCAAGCGUUAAUCGGAAUUACUGGGCGUAAAGCGUGCGCAGGCGGUUCGGAAAGAAAGAUGUGAAAUCCCAGAGCUCAACUUUGGAACUGCAUUUUUAACUGCCGGGCUAGAGUGUGUCAGAGGGAGGUGGAAUUCCGCGUGUAGCAGUGAAAUGCGUAGGUAUGCGGAGGAACACCGAUGGCGAAGGCAGCCUCCUGGGAUAACACUGACGCUCAUGCACGAAAGCGUGGGGAGCAAACAGG
rnacentral:rRNA from 1 species